rnacentral:rRNA from 1 species
UACGAAGGGGGCGAGCGUUGUUCGGAUUUACUGGGCGUAAAGGGCGCGCAGGCGGCUCAUUUUGUCAGGCGUGAAAGCCCCGGGCUUAACCUGGGAGGUGCGUUUGAUAGGAUGGGCUAGAGUUCGGGAGAGGAGAGUGGAAUUCCCAGUGUAGAGGUGAAAUUCGUAGAUAUUGGGAAGAACACCAGUGGCGAAGGCGGCUAUCUGGACGGUUUCUGACGCUAAGACGCGAAAGCGUGGGGAGCAAACAGG